rnacentral:rRNA from 1 species
UACGAAGGGGCGAGCGUUGUUCGGAUUUACUGGGCGUAAAGGGCGCGUAGGCGGCGGGUCAAGUCGAGUGUGAAAGCCCCGGGCUCAACCUGGGAAUUGCGCUCGAGACUGGUCUGCUUGAGUUCGGGAGAGGAGCGUGGAAUUCCCAGUGUAGAGGUGAAAUUCGUAGAUAUUGGGAAGAACACCGGUGGCGAAGGCGGCGCUCUGGACCGAGACUGACGCUGAGGCGCGAAAGCGUGGGGAGCAAACAGGG